rnacentral:SRP_RNA from 1 species
GCUGGGCAUGGUGGUGUGCUCCUGUAGUCCCAACUACUUGGGAGGCUGGGGUGGGAGAAUUACUUAAGUUCAGAGUUCUGGGCUACAAUACACUAUGCCCAUUGAGUGUCUGCACUAAGUUUGGCAUCAACAUGGUGACCUCUCGGGAGUGGGGGAUCACCAGGUUGCCUAAAGAGGGGUGAAUCAGCCCAGGUCAGAAACGGAGCAUGUCAAAAAAUUGUUACAGUAAAAGGCACAUUGCAACUAAUUAAUCUCAGAAUACUCCCUCUU